rnacentral:rRNA from 1 species
UACGGAGGGUGCAAGCGUGGUCCGGAUUUAUUGGGUUUAAAGGGUGCGUAGGCGGCCCGUUAAGUCAGUGGUGAAAGCCUCCAGCUCAACUGGAGAACUGCCAUUGAUACUGGCGGGCUUGAGUACAGACGAGGUUGGCGGAAUUGAUUGUGUAGCGGUGAAAUGCAUAGAUACAAUCAAGAACUCCGAUUGCGUAGGCAGCUAACUAGGCUGUAACUGACGCUGAGGCACGAAAGCGUGGGGAGCGAACAGG